rnacentral:rRNA from 1 species
CUCCAAUAGCGUAUAUUAAAGUUGUUGCAGUUAAAAAGCUCGUAGUUGGAUUUCUGGGGGGCGCGUUGGGUCCGCCGGCAACGGGUGCGCACUUUUGACGUCCGUCUCCAUCCUCGCGAAGAGCGGCCUCGGCAUUAACUUGUCGCGGGCCGGGACUCGCGUCGUUUACUGUGAACAAAUUAGAGUGUUUAAAGCAGGCG